GGUCAGACCUAGAAGUAGCAAUAUGGAGGCCAUUACCAAGGUAAGGGUUUAGGUCAAGAGAUUGGUCACAAUUGCCAAAGGAUUGUGAAAAAGAGAAGACAAGAUGGCCGAAAACGGUUCCUUGUGAAACACUUACACCGAUGAGACAGGAGGAGGAAGGAUCCAGAGAAGGCCCAUAAAGAGAGGAUUCAAGAAGGUGGGAUCUUCAGAAUAAGAAUGAAGAAGGAUCACCGAGAGACAUUGAUAAGAAGCAGUGAACAUCCAGGACAUUCAGAGAGUGGAAGCCAUGUGGUGCUCCGGGAUGAGCUGGUUGGCAAGAAGCUUAUAAAUCAGGAAUAGACAGAGACUAAUGAGAGACUGGAAAUAUGAGAAUGAAGUCAAUAGGAACCUACAGAAGGCAAUGCAGAUACCUCUAGUGAGGAGAGAGUUCUUGAUGGAUUUUUCAGAUGACAUAAAGCCAAUUUUUAUCUGGAAAGGUUUAUUUCAAGCAAAUUUGUGUAGAUAAAACCUUGGGGGAGUAAAAAAAAAAAGCCCCCAAAACAACCCAAACAAGUAGAAAAGCCAAACAAAACUGCUUACAGCAGAAAUCCAGAUAUUUGCUGCAAAACAAUUAGUAAUAGCAUUGGCAAAACAUUCUCGAAAUAGACGAGCUUCACCAUUAGCCUUCUGUGAAUUCAAGCAAAGAGGCAUCAUUAUACAAAUUAUAUGCCUGGAGAAGGGGCUUCUGCAUUGGGAUGAACUUGUAAAAAGAACAUUUAAACCAAAGGCAAUUUUGCCUAUCUGUAAUUUGCUCUAUUCCCCUCGCUAUCAUUGAAGAUAUUUACGCUUGAGCAAAUUUCUCACUCUCAGUCUGAUUUCUCCUUUUUCUCAAUCCAGCCAUGAAGUCAUAAAAUCCCCUGUUUGGGACAAUAUGAUUUGCUGCCAUGGAAACAAUUACCAUGUCACAAAUUCAUCUUGCCCCAUGAGAUGAAAGAGGAAAAGCAAUAAUACUAAUAUUUUGCAGUUCAAUAGUGCCAUUCAUCCAGCAGUCACUAACUAGUAAAUACCAUCGAUUUGCAGGUGGGGAAAACUGGAGCAGCAAAGCUCUCGUGCCUGGUCUUGAGCUCUGGAAUUGCAGACUGUGGCAAGACUGUCCAGAUAUUUGUAAUUCCCACCCAGAGUAGAAGCUAAGGAGCCAAACUCUUGGUCUCCGUUACUCUUUUCGGUUGGGGAAUGAGAGUCGGCUCCUCUCCUGGCGCCUGUACUUCACCAACUGUUCCUAAUUAUGAGAGUAUUUGAUGGAACCUAGUUUGAUAAACAAAUGAAAAGCCCUUGGUAAUUGUCACAGCAGUGAAAGCAUUUACAUCCAUAGGAAUGGAGAAGAAGUUUUGGAAAGCGCACUAAAACUCCAGCACUCACAACCAGCUCCACCUUGGCCUGACACCCCGCCCUCCAUCCCACCUGGAUGCUCAUGGGCUUGGCUCCUGGCCAUCAUUGAUCUUACCUGGAAGCUAAUGGCAUGUAAACCCCGGGGCCCCCUCACGUGUCCAGACCCCUUCCCGAGACUCUAAGAGGUGCCCUAGCCGUGUGUUCACUCAGACUGACCUUUAAAAACAUCUACACUCUAACUUC